rnacentral:tRNA from 1 species
GGGUCCAUAGCUCAGUGGUAGAGCAUUUGACUGCAGAUCAAGA